rnacentral:rRNA from 1 species
UACGUAGGGUGCGAGCGUUGUCCGGAAUUAUUGGGCGUAAAGGGCUCGUAGGCGGUCUGUCACGUCGGGCGUGAAAACACGGGGCUUAACCCCGUGCCUGCUUCCGAUACGGGCAGACUAGAGGUAUGCAGGGGAGAACGGAAUUCCUGGUGUAGCGGUGAAAUGCGCAGAUAUCAGGAGGAACACCGGUGGCGAAGGCGGUUCUCUGGGCAUUACCUGACGCUGAGGAGCGAAAGUGUGGGGAGCGAACAGG